rnacentral:rRNA from 1 species
AGAGUUUGAUCCUGGCUCAGGAUGAACGCUAGCGGCAGGCCUAAUACAUGCAAGUCGAACGCUCAGUAGCAUACUGGGAGUGGCGCACGGGUGCGUAACGCGUACACAAUCUACCUCUAAGCGGGGGACACCUCCUGAAACGGGGAUUAAUACCGCAUAAUAUGCCGAAGUCGCAUGACUUUGGUAUUAAAAGCAGCAAUGCACUUAGAGAUGAGUGUGCGUCCCAUUAGGUAGUUGGUGAGGUAACGGGCUCACCAAGCCUAUGAUGGGUAGCCGGUCUGAGAGGAUGGUCGGCCACACGGGCACUGAGACACGGGCCCGACUCCUACGGGAGGCAGCAGUAAGGAAUAUUGGUCAAUGGUGGAAACACUGAACCAGCCAUGCCGCGUGGAGGAAUAAGGUCCUACGGAUUGUAAACUCCUUUUGACGAGGAAGAAAAUGUUAGAUUUAUCUAAUUUUGACGGUACUCGUAGAAUAAGCACCGGCUAACUCCGUG